UCAUAUGUUGAAAUUCAAACCCCAUGACUCAACACCUAACACAUUCCUUCCUUACUGCUCGAGCUCCCUUCACCCUACAAACCAUCUCUCCUAUGUGUUCUUUUUUCUCCUGUGACUAAGCAACUAGGCAAUGAAUCACCACCGUGACCCUACUAUUCCCUCUGACCGAACCACCAUCUACCUCUGAACACACAAAUCGGCGGCCUGGAAUACCGAUUACCAGCAUGUACAACCACCAUCUUCUCUCCCCUUGGCCACCCCCUCACCGGCGACGUUACCGGAAACCCCCAAACACCACACCCACACCGAACUCAGAUAUGCUCUCCGACGACCCCCUCCUUCUCCCGGCGACCCACCGUCACCCCUUCUGCCUUCCCAAGUGACCUCCACUCCAUCCGCCGCCAUCUAUUCAGGUGGACGACGGUUGUUGGUGGUGGUGGCGGUGGCGUUGGGGUUGGUGGCGGUGGGGGUUUUAUGGGUGGUGUGGGGCAGAGGUGGGUUGGUGGCGUUGGGGUUGGUGUCGUUGUCGGAGGUUGUGGGUGCUCGAUGGCAGGUGGUGGGUGCUCGAUGUCGGAGGUGGUGGGUGCUCGAUAAUGGUUUUGAGUUGGGUCAGUGAAGGUGGGAUUUUAUUUUUUUUUGAAUAUGGGUUUGAAUCUUUGUGGGUUUGUCUCGUAGGUUUGAAUCUUUGUGGGUUUGAUUCUGUUGAAUCUGUUGAAUCUGGGGUUAAAACAUCGGAGGUGGUGGGUGCUUGAUGACGGCGGUGGAGUGCCGAUGUUGGAGGUGGUGGGUGCUCGAUGAUGGUGGUGGAGUGUCGUUGUCGGAGAUGGUGGGUGCUCGAUGGCAGGUGGUGGGUGCUCGAUGUCGGAGGUGGUGGGUGCUCGAUUUGAUUUUGGGUAUGUACAUCAUUUUGUUAUUGUUGAUGGGGUUUUCUUUGAUUUGAUUUUGGGUAUCUACAUCAUGUUUGGUUGUUAUUGUUACUGGGUUUUUGUUGGGUUUGAAUCUGGGUUUUUGUUGAUGAACUGGGUGCUUUUUUGAUGAA